rnacentral:misc_RNA from 1 species
AAGUCGUAACAAGGUUUCCGUAGGUGAACCUGCGGAAGGAUCAUUAACGAGUUUACUGAGUUGUCGCUGCCCUCUCGGGGGAUGUGCACGCUCUUUUUCACUCAUCUAUACACCUGUGCACCUAUGCGAGUCAAUGGGGGAUUAGCGAAAGAGACCUGCAAAAGUUUCGACUAGCGUUCUCUGUCGGCUCGAUUUUUUAUAAACUCUUGUAUGUCUUAGAAUGUCUACUUUGCUUAACGCAAUAAAUACAACUUUCAACAACGGAUCUCUUGGCUCUC